UUGAUCCUGGCUCAGAACGAACGCUGGCGGCAGGCCUAACACAUGCAAGUCGAACGACACAGUGGCAGACGGGUGAGUAACGCGUGGGAACGUGCCCUUCACUACGGAAUAGCUCCGGGAAACUGGUGGUAAUACCGUAUACGCCCUUCGGGGGAAAGAUUUAUCGGUGAAGGAUCGGCCCGCGUUAGAUUAGAUAGUUGGUGGGGUAAUGGCCUACCAAGUCUGCGAUCUAUAGCUGGUCUGAGAGGAUGAUCAGCCACACUGGGACUGAGACACGGCCCAGACUCCUACGGGAGGCAGCAGUGGGGAAUCUUGCACANAUGGGCGAAAGCCUGAUGCAGCCAUGCCGCGUGAAUGAUGAAGGCCUUAGGGUUGUAAAAUUCUUUCAUCAGGGACGAUAAUGACGGUACCUGAAGAAGAAGCCCCGGCUAACUUCGUGCCAGCAGCCGCGGUAAUACGAAGGGGGCUAGCGUUGUUCGGAAUUACUGGGCGUAAAGCGCACGUAGGCGGACUUUUAAGUCUGGGGUGAAAGCCCGGAGCUCAACUCCGGAACCGCCUUGGAUACUGGGAGUCUUGAGGAUGGAAGAGGUAAGUGGAAUACCGAGUGUAGAGGUGAAAUUCGUAGAUAUUCGGUGGAACACCAGUGGCGAAGGCGACUUACUGGUCCAUUUCUGACGCUGAGGUGCGAAAGUGUGGGGAGCAAACAGGAUUAGAUACCCUGGUAGUCCACACCGUAAAACGAUGAGAGCUAGUUGUUGGCAGGGUUUACCUGUCGGUGACGCAGCUAACGCAUU
rnacentral:rRNA from 1 species